rnacentral:lncRNA from 1 species
GCAGGGUUUCUAAUGGGCCUAGGUAUGCAUAUUUCAGGUGCUUGGGGAGUGAUUUUAAUUCUAGCUUGGGUGUUUCCUCCACUAAUUAUCUGAACAAUGGUUCAACUAGAGGCUCCCAUCUAGGUUUUAUACUGACUGCAGCUACUUCAUUGACCUCCUCAAAUUCUUUACAGUCUUAGUUCAUCCAUAGUUUCAUAUCAAAUUCUUCAUCACUAAGGUCAAUGGGCUCAUAAACAUUGUCCUGUAUCUAGUUCAAGUCACUUACUUGGCUUGUUUUGGUCAGAUUAAAAAUGUUCAAG